AGAGUUUGAUCAUGGCUCAGAUUGAACGCUGGCGGCAUGCCUUACACAUGCAAGUCGAACGGCAGCACGGGGGCAACCCUGGUGGCGAGUGGCGAACGGGUGAGUAAUACAUCGGAACGUGUCCUGGAGUGGGGGAUAGCCCGGCGAAAGCCGGAUUAAUACCGCAUACGCUCUGAGGAGGAAAGGGGGGGAUCUUUCGGGACCUCUCGCUCAAGGGGCGGCCGAUGGCAGAUUAGCUAGUUGGUGGGGUAAAGGCCUACCAAGGCGACGAUCUGUAGCUGGUCUGAGAGGACGACCAGCCACACUGGGACUGAGACACGGCCCAGACUCCUACGGGAGGCAGCAGUGGGGAAUUUUGGACAAUGGGCGCAAGCCUGAUCCAGCAAUGCCGCGUGUGUGAAGAAGGCCUUCGGGUUGUAAAGCACUUUUGUCCGGAAAGAAAACCUCUUGGUUAAUACCUGAGGGGGAUGACGGUACUGGAAGAAUAAGCACCGGCUAACUACGUGCCAGCAGCCGCGGUAAUACGUAGGGUGCAAGCGUUAAUCGGAAUUACUGGGCGUAAAGCGUGCGCAGGCGGUUCGCUAAGACAGAUGUGAAAUCCCCGGGCUUAACCUGGGAACUGCAUUUGUGACUGGCGGGCUAGAGUAUGGCAGAGGGGGGUAGAAUUCCACGUGUAGCAGUGAAAUGCGUAGAGAUGUGGAGGAAUACCGAUGGCGAAGGCAGCCCCCUGGGCCAAUACUGACGCUCAUGCACGAAAGCGUGGGGAGCAAACAGGAUUAGAUACCCUUGUAGUCC
rnacentral:rRNA from 1 species